rnacentral:rRNA from 1 species
GGACUACUGGGGUUUCUAAUCCUGUUUGCUCCCCACGCUUUCGCACCUCAGCGUCAGUAAUGGACCAGUAAGCCGCCUUCGCCACUGGUGUUCCUCCGAAUAUCUACGAAUUUCACCUCUACACUCGGAAUUCCACUUACCUCUUCCAUACUCCAGACAUCCAGUAUCAAAGGCAGUUCCAGAGUUGAGCUCUGGGAUUUCACCCCUGACUUAAAUGUCCGCCUACGUGCGCUUUACGCCCAGUAAAUCCGAACAACGCUAGCCCCCUUCGUAUUACCGCGGCUGCUGGCAC